CGGUGAAAAAACCUUCGGGGAUCUUUAUAGCACCGGAUUUCCGCACCCCGGGGAAAUGACCCUGCAUCCUAAGUCCGAAAUAAUUAUGUUGCCGGAAUCGAAAUGUAAAGCCGAAUUCGAAAUGCAUAGCCGAACCCGAAGGCCGAAAUUAUUAACUACAUAUGACAAUAAUUAAACAGAUACGUACCUUGUAUGUUUAAAGGUAUAGAAUAUACCUUAUUAUUGUAAAAUUGAAUUCCCCCGAAAAAAGCAAAACGCCGGCAAACCAGCUGCAAAAAUUCGCAAGACAAAUACCUCUUAAUUGUAGUAACGAAUUGUUAAUAGCAAGAAAUAUUUAUCUUUUACUUGCGCAUUUUAACCAAAUGCUCAGGUUUUGCGUCACUUCAUUUUUUAUCGCUUUGCGGAGAUAUUUUAAACACUAAAAUAUUCCCAAAAUAAUUCGCGCUAAUGAAUCCAAGGCUCUAAACGUAUUCCGCGCUACAGAAGACCUUUGGAACGAUUGGAUGCAUUUUUUGAUGUGUGCAUUUUGUGCGUUUUUGACUUAAUUUAUUCGCGCGCGAAGCUUGCUUGCAUGUGGUCCGAAUAUUGCGCAAUCUAAUGUUGCGCGCAAAAUAUUUUCAUUGUCGCAACUGUGCACAACAAUUAAUACAUACGUCUAAUUCGUUUGCGCGGCGUAAAUAAGACAGCCCGACCUUUCGACGCGAACUUAUUGCAUAAUCAUUUCAAAACUGGCACACAUCGUAUGGGUACUGAUUGUACCCAACCCUAUAGCGCAGCGGCUUUUGUUAAAUUAUGUUAAAUUAUACUCAGGUUCGACCAAGCUAAUGUAUGACCAAUUGACAGCAACGCUGAAUGCAAACAUGGAAGCACCCUUCGUUGCUAUGACGACCUUACGUGAGCUUGAUCUGUAGAGUGUUUUCAUGGCAGCCAUGUUGGAGAACAAACAUGAUCGAAACGUGCACGUAAUUUCUUUGUUAAGCGCUUUUGUCCGUCAACAUAACAACACAUGAAAACAUUCUUUAUCUCUGGCGGUCUUUCGAAUAGAAAAUUAUAGCAAAGCGCGCGCGGCGGCGCAGCAGCAACUUCUUUAAGAAAUGGUUCUGUCUCCUGUUUGGAGGAACUGAACAUCAUUUCUUGUACAUUUACAAUUAAUGCGCUCGCGACUUGAUAACUGUAAAUGUCUUAACAAUUUGAUUCUAAAGGCUUUUGUCAGAACUAUAGAAAAUCUAAGUUCCAACCUAGUUACUUCAGAUUCAAAUGGCAGAAUCGAAAUGGCUUGCCUUUAUGUUUUUAUUUCGUAUAUUUUUGUUUCUUUUUUUUCCCGAUAUCUUUUUUUGCUUCUUGUUAAGCCAUUUUAGUAUGAAGUAUAUUUGACACGAAAACGGAUUCCAUUUUCUUGUGGCAAAAUACUUUAGAUUUCGUAUGUGUGUGUGCAUCGCGCAGUUUUCCCGCUUCUAAACUGUCUAAUCUCACUAACUACUUGCGCGCGCGCGACGGACCAUUUAUAGCGCAACCGCCCUGAAAAGGAAUACCCCUGAACGCGAUGUCUCGGCCAUGCCCUUAGCUUAACUUAACCUAGUGCAUGUCGCACCUAUGAGCCACCACAAACAGGGGUAGAUUUUUGAAUACCUUGCGUUCCGUUAAAGAUUUGAGCCGUUGUGACCGCACCAUAAGAGAGGGCACCUAGUCACUGGUAGUGGACCGUUUCUCAUGAAUUUAGCCCAGCUACCAGGAAUGCACAUGCUUUACCUUACUGCGGGAGAGAAGAUGUUUUAAAACUGAAUCUUUUGAGUGACUCGUAGAAAUUCUCGCUGAUCCAAAGGUCCACCACGAUUUCCACCAAGUCUUCUUACGGGUACCAUUUGCACCCUCUAAGCUAAGGAUACCAUUUGUACCCCCACUAACCCCAAGGAAAACGAUGCCAGCUUAAUUUUUCGAAAAAAGAUGUUAAAGGGGCAGUGACAAUAGUCACUGAUAGCAUGCAAACGAAGAAAUGUUUUUAAAAUAUGUUUCAUCAUAGACAAUCAUAGACAAUCUUUG
rnacentral:lncRNA from 1 species